UACGUAGGGUGCGAGCGUUGUCCGGAAUUAUUGGGCGUAAAGGGCUCGUAGGCGGUUUGUCGCGUCGGGAGUGAAAACCAUGGGCUUAACUCAUGGCUUGCUUCCGAUACGGGCAGACUAGAGUGUGGUAGGGGAGAUCGGAAUUCCUGGUGUAGCGGUGAAAUGCGCAGAUAUCAGGAGGAACACCGGUGGCGAAGGCGGAUCUCUGGGCCAUUACUGACGCUGAGGAGCGAAAGCGUGGGGAGCGAACAGG
rnacentral:rRNA from 1 species